rnacentral:lncRNA from 1 species
GUGCCCUCCUAGACAUUACAAAUUUUGUGCUAUACAGAGAUUUAUAGUAAUGGUUGUUAUCUUAUGUAGUUGUUUUGUAAUGCUUUACAGGUGUUGGAAACAUUUCUUAAAGACGACUUUAUAUCUCAAUCAAGGAUUAAUUCAGAGGUCGGUACUUUGAUCUGCAUUAAAGUUGUAGUUGUAGGUGUAUGUCAGUAAUUUGUGUUCCAUUUCAUGAAUAAGAUACAUAUUAAUUUUGUUUAUAUACACAUGUGGGGAAUUAUAAUUUAGCUUGUUAUUCAACUUUGUUCACAGUACAUUUCUCUUUAUUUUCUUACAUAUAUAUGUGAAUGUGAUAAGGAACACAUGUUCUGACAAUACUCUAAAUUAAUCUGAGUUAUUUAUUGGGUGGAAAUGUUGUAAUUGCAGCUAUUUGCAGAUGGUGUCAUCCAAUUUGAGUAUGGCAUUAAUCCAACACAGAAGCUCAAGUUUGGUUCAAUGGUAUGUUGUCAAGAAUAUUUAUGUAGUUGUGCAAGGAAAGUUUCUUUCAUUUCUUUAUAUUGUCAAUUAACAAGGUAUAUGUAAAUUUUACAUGUUUGAUCGAUGCAAGUCUGCCCCAUAGGUUUGU